rnacentral:rRNA from 1 species
CCUACGGGCGGCAGCAGUGAGGAAUAUUGGUCAAUGGACGAGAGUCUGAACCAGCCAAGUAGCGUGAAGGAUGACUGCCCUAUGGGUUGUAAACUUCUUUUAUAUGGGAAUAAAAUGUUCCACGUGUGGGAUUUUGUAUGUACCAUAUGAAUAAGGAUCGGCUAACUCCGUGCCAGCAGCCGCGGUAAUACGGAGGAUCCGAGCGUUAUCCGGAUUUAUUGGGUUUAAAGGGAGCGUAGGUGGAUUGUUAAGUCAGUUGCGAAAGUUUGCGGCUCAACCGUAAAAUUGCAGUUGAAACUGGCAGUCUUGAGUACAGUAGAGGUGGGCGGAAUUCGUGGUGUAGCGGUGAAAUGCUUAGAUAUCACGAAGAACUCCGAUUGCGAAGGCAGCUCACUGGACUGCAACUGACACUGAGGCUCGAAAGUGUGGGUAUCAAACAGGAUUAGAUACCCGAGUAGUC